CUACGUGCCAGCAGCCGCGGUAAUACGUAGGUGGCAAGCGUUGUCCGGAAUUAUUGGGCGUAAAGCGCGCGCAGGCGGAUUGGUCAGUCUGUCUUAAAAGUUCGGGGCUUAACCCCGUGAUGGGAUGGAAACUGCCAAUCUAGAGUAUCGGAGAGGAAAGUGGAAUUCCUAGUGUAGCGGUGAAAUGCGUAGAUAUUAGGAAGAACACCAGUGGCGAAGGCGACUUUCUGGACGAAAACUGACGCUGAGGCGCGAAAGCCAGGGGAGCGAACGGGAUUAGAUACCCCGGUAGUCCUGGCCGUAAACGAUGGGUACUAGGUGUAGGAGGUAUCGACCCCUUCUGUGCCGGAGUUAACGCAAUAAGUACCCCGCCUGGGGAGUACGACCGCAAGGUUGAAACUCAAAGGAAUUGACGGGGGCCCGCACAAGCGGCGGAGUAUGUGGUUUAAUUCGACGCAACGCGAAGAACCUUACCAGGUCUUGACAU
rnacentral:rRNA from 1 species